AAACAGUGACUUCUUCAGUGCCCCAAAAUGGGUGCCUGAUUAUAUUUUUCAACGUCAAAUCCCACUUCCAUAUGUGUGUGUGUGUGUGUGUGUGCAAGCUUUGAAGGCUUCCUCCCCAGGAAGAAUGAAAAUUUGCCCUCUUUGCAGAAAGAUAGGAAGCCAGGCGAGUUUAAAAUGUCAAGGCUACAAAUGCUUCUCAGGACUCAGAAUCAGUAAACAAAACUUAGGGCUUAUUCAACACUUAAAGUUCCUCUGCUCUUUCUAGACACGGCCCAUGAUUUAAUCUCCAUGUCCAAACGUUUUGCUCCAGAGCUUUCCCCUCAAAAACCUGCUCUAGAAUCACAGAAUCAUAGAGUUGGGACCCCAAGAGUCAUCUAGUCUAACCCGCUGCGAUGCAGGACCCUGGCAGAUGGCCAUCCAAUCUCUGCCUAAAAACCUCCAAGGAAGGAGAGUCCACAACCUCCUGAGGAAGCCCAUUCCACUGUUCAACAGCUCUUACCCUCAGAAAGUUCUUCCUGAUGUUUAGUUGGAAUCUUCUUUCUUGUAACUUGAAGCUAUGAGUUCGAGUCCUACCGUCCUGAGCAGGAGAAAACAAGAUUGCUCCCUCUUCCAUGUGACAGCGCUUAAGAUAUUUGAAGAUAGGUAUCAUAACGCCUCUCGGUCUCCUCUUU